GAGAUCAGCAGAAGAAUAUUAGACCUCACCUUGGAGAUCAUCUCCCUGCUGAGCGGAGAGGAUUACACCAUCGUGACGAGGACAUCGAGGUGGACUCCCAUCAUUGAAGAGUCAGGAGGAUGGAGCAGGACCCCCAUCACAGAGCCUCCCCACCUGCUACAUGAGCAGAAGAUCCUAGAACUCACCCACAAGAUGAUGGAGCUGCUGACUGGAGAGGUUCCUGUAAGGUGUCAGGAUGUGGCGGUCUAUUUCUCCAUGGAGGAGUGGGAGUAUGUAGAAGGACACAAGGAUCUGUACAAGGAGGCCAUGAUGGAGGCUCCCCGACCUCUGACAUCACCAGGUGGAUCCAGGAGGAGAAAUCCCCCCGAGAGAUGUCCCCGUCCUCUGUAUUCCCA